rnacentral:rRNA from 1 species
AUUGAACGCUGGCGGCAGGCCUAACACAUGCAAGUCGAGCGAGCGGCGGACGGGUGAGUAAUGUCUGGGAAACUGCCCGAUGGAGGGGGAUAACUACUGGGAACGGUAGCUAUUACAGCAUACCAUCAGAGGUGCCCCCAUGGGAGUAGCUGUUCGGUGGGGUAACGGCUCACCAAGGCGACGAUCCCUAGCUGGUCUGAGAGGAUGACCAGCCACACUGGAACUGAGACACGGUCCAGACUCCUACGGGAGGCAGCAGUGGGGAAGAUUGAACAAUGGGCGCAAGCCUGAUGCAGCCAUGCCGCGUGUAUGAAGAAGGCCUUCGGGUGGUAAAGCACUUUCAGCGGGGAGGCGUUACCCGCAGAAGAAGCACCGGCUAACUCCGUGCCAGCAGCCGCGGUAAUUC